CUUGUCUGGACACACUCCAACAGGUCUGUGUCUCUCCUGUACAGAGGACUCCACAUCUGGACACAGUGCACCAGGUGAUGCAGCAAGACCUAACUGCAGUGGAAGAGAUUAAACAGGUGAAAAGCAGGAACAGAUUGAUUGGCUCUAAAAAUCACAACAGGGAUAUCCUAGGACUGUGAAGAACUUGCCCAUGGGAAAGAGCUAAAAAGUUGCACUGAUGAGCCUAGAACUCUCAGCAUUAUGACCUUCGCCUGAAUUAUCUUUGACAGCUUCCUCAUCUCCAAUAUGAAGCAAACGGCAUUUUUUUUUCCCAGAUUUACUUCACAGAAAUGAACAGUUAGUUGCCAUUGCACUGGGGAAAUACCACAUUAGCAGCAAACCAACAUUUUAGUUUUCUCACCUCCACAAAAUGAUGUCUUGUAUCUCUGACACAGUGGGGAGAGAUUAAAGUCUUUGAAGUGAUGUGAGAUCUCUGUACAAGCCUCAGACUUUCUUGAAACCCAACCCCAAGGACAUGUUGAAACAUGUUGAAAUCCCACAUCCUAG
ensembl:lncRNA